GAGGAACACCUGGUUUAGUACGAUAUAUCUGUUGCUAGGAAAAUGGUCUAUGUAACUGUACAUAUUUGCAAUACAUCUAGUGAAAAUUUUCAAUCUCACAUAGGUAAAAAGGCAGGUAAAACACAUGAACAUCAAGUUCGCUCAUUUGAGCUUUCCUUUCCAAGUUUUCUCCUCAAUUUCGACAGUGAUUUGCCAUAGCCAUAAAUGCCAGCUCUAUUUCUCAAGCCCUCUCCUGUAUCAACAGAGCUUCAAGCCAUAGCCAUAAAUGCCAGCUCUAUUUCUCAAGCCCUCUCCUGUAUCAACAGAGCUUCAA
rnacentral:misc_RNA from 1 species